rnacentral:rRNA from 1 species
AGAGUUUGAUCAUGGCUCAGAUUGAACGCUGGCGGCAGGCCUAACACAUGCAAGUCGAGCGGAUGACGGGAGCUUGCUCCUGAAUUCAGCGGCGGACGGGUGAGUAAUGCCUAGGAAUCUGCCUGGUAGUGGGGGACAACGUUUCGAAAGGAACGCUAAUACCGCAUACGUCCUACGGGAGAAAGCAGGGGACCUUCGGGCCUUGCGCUAUCAGAUGAGCCUAGGUCGGAUUAGCUAGUUGGUGAGGUAAUGGCUCACCAAGGCGACGAUCCGUAACUGGUCUGAGAGGAUGAUCAGUCACACUGGAACUGAGACACGGUCCAGACUCCUACGGGAGGCAGCAGUGGGGAAUAUUGGACAAUGGGCGAAAGCCUGAUCCAGCCAUGCCGCGUGUGUGAAGAAGGUCUUCGGAUUGUAAAGCACUUUAAGUUGGGGGGAAGGGCAUUAACCUAAUACGUUAGUGUUUUGACGUUACCGACAGAAUAAGCACCGGCUAACUCUGUGCCAGCAGCCGCGGUA